rnacentral:rRNA from 1 species
CCUACGAGUGGCAGCAGUGAGGAAUAUUGGUCAGUGGACGAGAGUCUGAACCAGCCAAGUAGCGUGAAGGAUGACUGCCCUAUGGGUUGUAAACUUCUUUUAUAUGGGAAUAAAAUGUUCCACGUGUGGGAUUUUGUAUGUACCAUAUGAAUAAGGAUCGGCUAACUCCGUUCCAGCAGCCGCGGUAAUACUGAGGAUCCGAGCGUUAUCCGGAUUUAUUGGGUUUAAAGGGAGCUUAGGUGGAUUGUUAAGUCAGUUGUGGAAGUUUGCGGCUCAACCGUAAAAUUGCAGUUGAAACUGGAGGUCUUGAGUACAGUAGAGGUGGGCGGAAUUCGUGGUGUAGCGGUGAAAUGCUUAGAUAUCACGAAGAACUCCGAUUGCGAAGGCAGCUCACUGGACUGCAACUGACACUGAGGCUCGAAAGUGUGGGGAUCAAACAGGAUUAGAUACCCUUGUAGUC